GGUUAAGCGACUAAGCGUACACGGUGGAUGCCCUGGCAGUCAGAGGCGAUGAAGGACGUGCUAAUCUGCGAAAAGCGUCGGUAAGGUGAUAUGAACCGUUACAGCCGGCGAUGUCCGAAUGGGGAAACCCAGUGUGAUUCGUCACACUAUCGUUAACUGAAUACAUAGGUUAACGAGGCAAACCGGGGGAACUGAAACAUCUAAGUACCCCGAGGAAAAGAAAUCAACCGAGAUUCCCCCAGUAGCGGCGAGCGAACGGGGAGCAGCCCAGAGUCUGAAUCAGCUUGUGUGUUAGUGGAACGGUCUGGAAAGUCCGACGGUACAGGGUGAUAGUCCCGUACACCAAAAUGCACAGGUUGUGAACUCGAAGAGUAGGGCGGGACACGUGGUAUCCUGUCUGAAUAUGGGGGGACCAUCCUCCAAGGCUAAAUACUCCUGACUGACCGAUAGUGAACCAGUACCGUGAGGGAAAGGCGAAAAGAACCCCGGCGAGGGGAGUGAAAAAGAACCUGAAACCGUGUACGUACAAGCAGUGGGAGCACCUUUAUGGUGUGACUGCGUACCUUUUGUAUAAUGGGUCAGCGACUUAUAUUCUGUAGCAAGGUUAACCGUAUAGGGGAGCCGCAGGGAAACCGAGUCUUAACUGGGCGUUAAGUUGCAGGGUAUAGACCCGAAACCCGGUGAUCUAGCCAUGGGCAGGUUGAAGGUUGGGUAACACUAACUGGAGGACCGAACCGACUAAUGUUGAAAAAUUAGCGGAUGACUUGUGGCUGGGGGUGAAAGGCCAAUCAAACCGGGAGAUAGCUGGUUCUCCCCGAAAGCUAUUUAGGUAGCGCCUCGUGAAUUCAUCUUCGGGGGUAGAGCACUGUUUCGGCUAGGGGGUCAUCCCGACUUACCAACCCGAUGCAAACUACGAAUACCGAAGAAUGUUAUCACGGGAGACACACGGCGGGUGCUAACGUCCGUCGUGAAGAGGGAAACAACCCAGACCGCCAGCUAAGGUCCCAAAGUCACAGUUAAGUGGGAAACGAUGUGGGAAGGCACAGACAGCCAGGAUGUUGGCUUAGAAGCAGCCAUCAUUUAAAGAAAGCGUAAUAGCUCACUGGUCGAGUCGGCCUGCGCGGAAGAUGUAACGGGGCUAAACUGUGCACCGAAGCUGCGGCAGCGACACUAUGUGUUGUUGGGUAGGGGAGCGUUCUGUAAGCCUGCGAAGGUGGCCUGUGAGGGUUGCUGGAGGUAUCAGAAGUGCGAAUGCUGACAUAAGUAACGAUAAUGCGGGUGAAAAGCCCGCACGCCGGAAGACCAAGGGUUCCUGUCCAACGUUAAUCGGGGCAGGGUGAGUCGACCCCUAAGGCGAGGCCGAAAGGCGUAGUCGAUGGGAAACAGGUUAAUAUUCCUGUACUUGGUGUUACUGCGAAGGGGGGACGGAGAAGGCUAUGUUAGCCGGGCGACGGUUGUCCCGGUUUAAGCAUGUAGGCGGAGGUUCCAGGUAAAUCCGGUACCUUUUAACGCUGAGGUGUGAUGACGAGGCACUACGGUGCUGAAGUAACAAAUGCCCUGCUUCCAGGAAAAGCCUCUAAGCAUCAGGUAACAUUGAAUCGUACCCCAAACCGACACAGGUGGUCAGGUAGAGAAUACCAAGGCGCUUGAGAGAACUCGGGUGAAGGAACUAGGCAAAAUGGUGCCGUAACUUCGGGAGAAGGCACGCUGAUAUGUAGGUGAAGCCCCUGCGGGUGGAGCUGAAAUCAGUCGAAGAUACCAGCUGGCUGCAACUGUUUAUUAAAAACACAGCACUGUGCAAACACGAAAGUGGACGUAUACGGUGUGACGCCUGCCCGGUGCCGGAAGGUUAAUUGAUGGGGUUAUCCGUAAGGAGAAGCUCUUGAUCGAAGCCCCGGUAAACGGCGGCCGUAACUAUAACGGUCCUAAGGUAGCGAAAUUCCUUGUCGGGUAAGUUCCGACCUGCACGAAUGGCGUAAUGAUGGCCAGGCUGUCUCCACCCGAGACUCAGUGAAAUUGAACUCGCUGUGAAGAUGCAGUGUACCCGCGGCAAGACGGAAAGACCCCGUGAACCUUUACUAUAGCUUGACACUGAACAUUGAGCCUUGAUGUGUAGGAUAGGUGGGAGGCUUUGAAGCGUGGACGCCAGUCUGCGUGGAGCCAACCUUGAAAUACCACCCUUUAAUGUUUGAUGUUCUAACGUUGGCCCCUGACCGGGGUUGCGGACAGUGUCUGGUGGGUAGUUUGACUGGGGCGGUCUCCUCCCAAAGAGUAACGGAGGAGCACGAAGGUUAGCUAAUCCUGGUCGGACAUCAGGAGGUUAGUGCAAUGGCAUAAGCUAGCUUGACUGCGAGCGUGACGGCGCGAGCAGGUGCGAAAGCAGGUCAUAGUGAUCCGGUGGUUCUGAAUGGAAGGGCCAUCGCUCAACGGAUAAAAGGUACUCCGGGGAUAACAGGCUGAUACCGCCCAAGAGUUCAUAUCGACGGCGGUGUUUGGCACCUCGAUGUCGGCUCAUCACAUCCUGGGGCUGAAGUAGGUCCCAAGGGUAUGGCUGUUCGCCAUUUAAAGUGGUACGCGAGCUGGGUUUAGAACGUCGUGAGACAGUUCGGUCCCUAUCUGCCGUGGGCGCUGGAGAAUUGAGGGGGGCUGCUCCUAGUACGAGAGGACCGGAGUGGACGCAUCACUGGUGUUCGGGUUGUCAUGCCAAUGGCAUUGCCCGGUAGCUAAAUGCGGAAGAGAUAAGUGCUGAAAGCAUCUAAGCACGAAACUUGCCCCGAGAUGAGUUCUCCCUGAGACUUUAAGUCUCCUGAAGGAACGUUAAAGACGAUGACGUUGAUAGGUCGGGUGUGUAAGCGUAGCGAUACGUUGAGCUAACCGAUACUAAUGAACCGUGAGGCUUAACCUU
rnacentral:rRNA from 1 species